rnacentral:tRNA from 1 species
GCGCAGGUCAGCUUGUUAUCCACAGACCAAGAGCGAACCCCUAAAGCGGGUGCCGGCGGUUCGAAUCCGCUCAGGCGCA